GUCUGGAAGCAGCUCCUUAAGGAGUGCCCAUGAGCUCCACCAGAGGGCACUCCACCCCUGACUCUUGUCACAGUCUCACAAACUACAUUUCCCAUAAUCCUUUGCCGGACUCAUCAUCACUGAUUGCCUUCACCUGUGUCUAUUUACCUUAUCAAUCUCACACUAUGAAGGUUGCACUCAUCCACACACACAUCGCUGAGUAUUGCUAGCCUGUAGCGUUUCCAAGUUCCCUCUCGAAGCGGCGACGACCGCUCCAGCUACUCCCGAGGUGGCAACUUGUGCUGCAGAACCUCCAGAGGCAUCGGCGUCUGCCUUUGAAUUCUCUGCCGGUCCAGCCGCGGCCAAAGAGGCCACCUGUGAACCCUCUGAUUUGUCUUGUCACGCCCAAGGAAGCCGUCUCUGAACUCUCAACCUGUCCUGUCACGGCCAAGGAGGCUGUCUUCGAGUUCUUCGCCUAUCCAGUCACGGCCAAAGAGGCCGACUGUGAACUCUCUGACUGUCCUGUUUCGGCCACAGAGGUCAUUGAUAACCUCUCUGUGCUCUGUAUUCCAGUUCAGCCUGAUCCACCAUGGUGGUUCCCUGCUCCAUCAGCUCCACCCUGGUGGUCAUCUGCUCCACCGUGGCGAUCUUUGGUCCCGUCUGUUCAGCUGUGGUGGUCAUCUACUCCACUGUGGGGGUCUUCGAUCCCAUCUUCUCUGCUGUGGUGGUCUUCUGCUCCGCCCUGGUUGUCCUCUGCUCUGCCGGCUCUGUCCCGGCUUCCUGCUCUGCUGGCUCCACCUUGGUUUCCUGCUCCGCCCUGGUACCCUGCUCUGCCGGCUCUGCUUCAGUCUCCAGGCCCAUGAAGGCGAGGGUGACAGUGAGUGAGGGCACACCUAGGACAGGAUCCCGGCCAGCCAGUAAAGUGUUCACGGCAGAGCAGGAGACCAUACUGUCCUCCAUACUGAGUUCCUCCUCAGGGCUGCUGACUUAUAUUAUGGUUUAAGUCCCAAAGAGGUUCGCAAAUUUGCCUAUGAACUGGCAAAGGCUCACAACUGCCAGCAGCCCAAGUCAUGGGAUGAGCAUGGAGUGGCUGGGGCUGACUGGUUAGAUGGUUUCCUGAACAGGCACCCAAGCCUUUCCCUGAGACAGCCACAAGAUUAGCUAGGAGAACAAGCUUUAAUAAAACCAACAAUCUGGCAGAGGUAUUUCAAAAACACCAUUUCACUGC
rnacentral:lncRNA from 1 species